rnacentral:lncRNA from 1 species
UCAAAGUGCCAGAAUGCAACAUUUACAUUAAUUCAAUUGAGAAAGAACUCAUUGAAAGAAGAAGAGCCGAGUGGUUGAAGUUGUCAAAAAGGAAUUAUAAUAUAUCCCAACUAUUUGUUUGCUCUGGUCAUUUUGUUUCAGGGAAACCUGCAUAUGUGUAUAAUGAAUUCUGAAUGUAAACAACAAUAACAUUUUGGUUGUACGUACCCUGCAAUACAAUCACAAAAAGCAACAAUCACUUUGCCAUCAUUUUGUAAAGCAGCCCAAGGUCUUGCUUUUGGCAAGUUUAAAGACUGAGAAUGGGUAACAUGAGUACGAAUCAACACAACCAAAUUAGAAAGAGUAAGUGCCAAUAACUUGUCAGUGAAAGUGUUUGACAAGUAUUGUUCAGAGUCUAAGUUUUUGUAAGCUUCACGUCGUCCCUCUUCAUCUUUGUUUUUCUCAAAAACCAAAUAAUGAACUAGGUGAUAUUUUUCAAUGGAAGGGAUAAUUGUUUUUAAAAUUUUUCCACACUUGAAAAGUGGAAGUGGUAUUGCCAAAGGAUCGUGACACUUUAGAUGUUCUAAUUGUUGGUAGUAAUAUUUCCGAUCUUCUUCUACCACGGACAAUGCAAAAGGGGACAAACGAUAUUUAAAAAUUUCUGUGGACAUGAAAAUUUCAUGGAAAUAAACACUUAAGAAAUCAAA